rnacentral:tRNA from 1 species
GGCGCUGUAGCUUAGUGGAAAAGCGAUGCUCUCAUGAGGCAUAGACCGGGAGUUCAAUCCUCCCCAGCGCCA